CGGGUGUGAGUAGAGUGGCGCACGGGUGAGUAACGCGUGGGAACCUACCAAGCAGUGGGGAAUAACCUUUGGAAACGAAGGCUAAUACCGCAUACGCCCUUCGGGGGAAAGAUUUAUCGCUGUUUGAUGGUCCCGCGUCUGAUUAGCUAGUUGGUAAGGUAACGGCUUACCAAGGCGACGAUCAGUAGCUGGUCUGAGAGGAUGAUCAGCCACACUGGGACUGAGACACGGCCCAG
rnacentral:rRNA from 1 species